rnacentral:lncRNA from 1 species
CUGCUUUCCAGAUAUGUGAUCAUUUAUUCCUUCAUCUGAGAUAAAGAUUCGUUUCUUCAUCUGAGGUCAUCUCCUAACAAUACACUGUCAGGUUCUGUAACUUUAGCUCCUGCCAUGCUCAUCCGGGUCCUGGCUAUCCCUGCCCUGGCCAUCAGACACCGAAGAUUCUGUACCAGCUACCAAGAAACCCAACUGUCCUAUACCUGCAGAACCAGCUUUCAUUUGUUUGUUUGCUUGUUUGUGUUUUGGAUGGUCCCUGGAGAAGUAUCCUAACGUAUCUUCUGCAUAUACUGAGUAUCGACAUUUCCUGGAGCUUUGAUAGCUUUUCUGUAAGAGGAUAUCUUCUAACCACAGGUAUUAUCUUUAGUCUUUUGUUACCUACUUUGACAAUAUCUCCCCAAAUACCAGUAUUU